UAAAGUAUUAUACACCUGGCUAUAACUAUUUAUAAAAAGGCAUAACACAUUAUAGCCAUGUUUAUUAUGCAUUAUCAAUAUCAGAAACUUUAUUGUCAUUAUAAAAAGGUAUAACAAAAGUUGUGUGCAGUCCCUUGCAGUGCAAAAAGAAUAGAAUAUUACAAGCAAAAACAAAAAAAUAAUUAAAAAUAAUUUUCUUAUGUACAAAAAAAAGUAAUAUAUAAUAGAGCAGGUUAUUGCACAGUUUUUUGAAAUAUUGCACAGAUUUAACUUGGUAAGGUAUUGCCCAGGUUUGUGAAAGAGAGCAUACCCUUCCGGUAUUCAUUUAUACUAUAAUUGCAACAGCCCUAGGAUAUGUGCUAUUUUUCAGUCUGUUUGUUUUUGCUUUUAUUGACCUGUGCCGCCUUCCUCAGGGUAACAGCUGGAACAGGUGAUGUGCCGGGUAGGAUGUGUCCUGCAGGAUGCUGCAGGUUUUACAGUGGCAGCGGGACCUGUACAGCUCCUCCUAGGAGAGGAGAGUGCAGCUGAUGAUCUUCUGCACUGUGUUGAUGACCCUCUGGUGGAAUUACAGACCCUCUCCACACAGUCCCCAUUGAUGUAUUUGGGCUGAGGGUCAGAUCUAUUUCUUCUGAAGUCCACAAUGAUCUCUUUUGUGUUUGUGGUGUUAAGGACCAGGUUGUUAUUUUUGCUCCACAAUGACAGUUUUUCCACCUUGUCCCUGUAUUCAGACUCAUCUCCCCCUGUGAUGGGCCAGACCACUGUCGUGUCGUCCGCGAACUUCACGAUAGAAUUGCUUGGGUGGGUGGGGGUGCAGUCGUGUGUGUAGAGAGUGUACAAAAGGGGACUCAGCAGACAUCCCUGUGGAGAGCCAGUGUUGAGGCUGAGUGCUGUGGAGAGGUCAGGCCCCAUUAUGACACUCUGUGGGCGGUCGCUGAGGAAGUCCUUAAUCCAGAGGAAGGUGGAGUAUGAGAAGCCAAGGCUGUUUAAUUUUGUUACCAGUCUGUAACAAAACGAAUUAUGAAUGCUCUAUGAUGCUCCCAUCUAUAAUGCACUAUAAAUACCUUCAUAAUGCAAUAUAAUGACUUAUACUGACUAUUAUAAUGCAUUAUAUAUGCUGUUUACAGCAGGGAUGGAGAGCUGUUGAUCUUAACUGGGGAUAUAGACAGACAGUGGAAAGAGCACUUUGAGGACCUUCAGAAUUUCGCUCACACACCCUCCCUGGAGGAAGCAGAGUUGGAGGACUGCCCAUAACUAGGGCUGAGGUUACUGAGAUACCAAGCCAUUCCCGAGCCAACCAUGAGUGUGUCCUGGGUUUGCCCUGGGGACUGUUUGGAGAACUACAUCAAAAGUGUGUUCAUUUUAAUGUAAAACUUUACUGUUAUGUGAGAUACAAUAAUGGAAAAUGUUUGCAUAAUAUAUAAUGGCUCAAAUAAUGUCGAUGCAUGCAUAUGGAAAUAUACUCACGAAUGAAAUAAUACCAUAAAAAUAAAGAGGUACAAAUUCA